rnacentral:rRNA from 1 species
GAUGAACGCUGGCGGCGUGCCUAAUACAUGCAAGUCGAGCGAACAGACGAGGAGCUUGCUCCUCUGACGUUAGCGGCGGACGGGUGAGUAACACGUGGAUAACCUACCUAUAAGACUGGGAUAACUUCGGGAAACCGGAGCUAAUACCGGAUAAUAUAUUGAACCGCAUGGUUCAAUAGUGCAUGACGGUUUUGCUGUCACUUAUAGCUGGAUCCGCGCCGCAUUAGCUAGUUGGUAAGGUAACGGCUUACCAAGGCAACGAUGCGUAGCCGACCUGAGAGGGUGAUCGGCCACACUGGAACUGAGACACGGUCCAGACUCCUACGGGAGGCAGCAGUAGGGAAUCUUCCGCAAUGGGCGAAAGCCUGACGGAGCAACGCCGCGUGAGUGAUGAAGGUCUUCGGAUCGUAAAACUCUGUUAUUAGGGAAGAACAAAUGUGUAAGUAACUAUGCACGUCUUGACGGUACCUAAUCAGAAAGCCACGGCUAACUACGUG